CCACUUCAGUUUCUGGUAGAUGCUUAGACUACAUGUAUUUGUAGGUAAAGCUACUUCAGUUCCUGGAUAUGGUAAGACAUUCCAAGCCAACAGAAUCUCAGCAACCACUGGAGAAAGUUCAGGAGUAGAUAAGAGCAGACUUCUAAUGUAAUGCCCCCUGCUCUUCUUUCCUUUACUUGUGGACUCUGAGCAAGGCAUUGACUCUAUGCCUUAAAGACCAAAUGAGAUCUGAUUCUUGUUUUGGCAGGGACAUGGGGGUGGAGUGAGCUUUUCAGGAGUCUUUUCUGGACACCACUUACCUGAUUUGAAUUGUGAAGCACCAAACUCCAUGUAAUAUCAUGUUAUGCUGAAGUAUUUUUCCUUGAUUAGACAAUUGUCUUGAAUUCUUUUUCUCCUUCUACUCUCUUAGGCAUAGGGUAAGGCUCUGAUUUCUGGAAGAGCCAGAUGAUGAUGAAGACUUCUGUUCUAAAGAGGGCUUGGGUCUCAGAUGCCAUAGACUGGAGAAGAAAGUCUGAUCAUGGCUUAGACUAAAGGAAGCCGAGUCUGGGACUGCAAAGAGGGAAGCUGGAGAAACUGUUGAAUGUGAGAUGAGCAGGCAUAAGCAUCUUCAAAUUCAGGUCCAUUUGUCUCAGUGUUUGUGACCUCACUUCUGGGAAAUACAGAGGGAUACUCCCUGGCAUAGGCACAUUGGAUCCACUUUCAGCAGAAACAAGCUUUGUUUUGGAUACCCUGGGUCACUCAUCAUCACAACAAAGGAGGUUAGCAUUUUGUGACCUUUCUUCACCUCUGCACAACUCACUGGAAGCAGCUGGGUUACCUGUGCAGCCUCAGGCUCAUGGCCAGUACCAUGAAGGGCUGUUCUCUUCCAGCUCAAGGGACCAAUGGAAUGGAAGCACAAGUACAGGCAGGAUGGUGGCCUUGGGCCAUCCAAGUAGCAGCAGGAAUGCUGAGGGGAGUGUUGCAGGCUCAGCACGACAGCCAUCACACUUCUAAUUUACUCAACAGCACACUGAGAUCUCCUGGGAUAGGGAUUGGAACUGAGUGGGGACAGGAGAUUUGACAGAUCCUGAUUGUUUAAAGUUAACCUAGUGUGUACUAAUUCCAUUAUUAUUUUGCUUUCCUUACCAUUCCUUACUCUGUACAGGGAUUUUUAAGCUUAUGGUACUGAAUCUUCAGGGGAAAGCUUAUUUCCAGAGGAGUCAUUCUCAAGCAUGAAUGAUAUCCAGAGUAUGUGCCUUGCCACCACUACAGACUCAGGUGUGGGGAGGGAGGGAGGACCCUGGUAUAAGAAAACAAGAACAAACAUGGAGAUCCUGAAUGUGUGUUCAGGACCUGGAUCUGCCCCUUGUGGCUCUGUUUCACUGCUUUAAUGAGGUUUACACAGGGUUCCAUGUGACCCUGAUACAUAUCCCUUUCCCAGAGCUUUCAAAACAUCUAUGCUAUGUUUCCACUCCAUUUCAAAAUGAGUAGCACUCUCUGGUCCAGAUGCUGGUGAUGCGAAUCUAAAAUUAAGGAGGGUGGCUGGUUAGACUCUACCCCAUGAGUAAGACUGUCUUGAGGAGUCCUUCUCCUUUUCUAUUUGAACUAUUAGUAAUUAACACAGGUUAAGCAUAACAACUAGGAAUCAAAUGUUAAUGAAUCACAUUUAAAAAAUGUCUUGGCCCAAGCAGCUAUACUUUUUCUAAUUCCUGGGAGUGAUGUCAUUUUGAGUGAAUGAAGGUGAAAUGGUGAGGUUAGUCUCAGAGCAUGGGGGUGGCAGGUGGUAAAUCAUUAACUUUUGCCUUAUGUAUUUUUCCCUACUGGGUCACUUUUUAUAAAAGGUAUGCUUCAGUUUGUUAAGUUAAAAGAAUAAGAAAAAUUGAAAGAACACAAAUUUUGAAAAGAAAAAAGGGAGAAAUGGAAAAAUGAGGGGAAAUUAUGGAUUAUCUGUAGAAGGAGGUGAGAACAGCCAUGAGAGAACCUCACUGAACAUGUGUCUUCCAAGCUCUAAAACCCAGGAUGCAAAGUCACAUGUGUGAAGGUGCAAGGAUGGUCUUGAACACUUUUGUCAAAGUUCUGGAAUUCAUGGCCCCCAUGACCACAGAGCCACAGGCUAUUUCCAACACAACUGGGAAGCCCCAUCUUCUACCCAUCAGUACCUCCUGAGUAGCAUGGCUGAGGGCAUGUGGUGACCAGGAGAGUCCUUCUGGAGUUAGGACUAUUCUAAUGUUAUUCUAAUGGCAUUGGAGACAGAUUCCCCCCUGUAACAGGUAAGUGGUAUCACUCUUUUAAUAAUUGUUAUGAAUCUUUAUUAUGGGAGAAGUCUUCAGGAUGCUGGAAUUUACAAAUGUAUUCAGGGGAAAGUGUGUGUUUUUCUGAUGGCUUGAUCUGGGGCCAAAAAUCUUGGCUAAUCCUUAUCCUACAGCUUUUGUUAACCACUGUUCCAGACCACCCUCCUUUUCUUGAGAUAGAGGAGCCGUUUCAGAAAACUUUGAUCUCACUUACCCUAGAAGAUAGUGUAGUUUUUAGCAGGUAUUUAUUUUAUUUUCAAAAGUUACUGUUCUUUCAAAAUACAAGUGGAAUAUCUUUAAAGAUUUACAGAAAACAACUUAUUAAAAAGAAAAGGCACCCAUCAUCUCACUGUUCAGCAGUAAUCACCUGUUAACUCUGGUUUUCUAUGCACACAGAUUUACACAUUUUAGCAUAUUUGAGGACACAGUGAUAACUAAUAAUUUGCUAGUCCUAAUCAAUAGCUGGGUCUUGCCCAGGCAUUGUGAAACUUGAACUUCCAUGCAUGUGAGCACACUGUUUACCUUGUAGAGAUAGGUAAUGGGAAGGAUCAAAGAGUUGAAUAAAUAACUCUGGCCAAUGUGGAUUCCCAUCCAGGGCUAGUGCCAUGCUCUGGACAUUGUUCAGUAGCCAAUUGUCACUUCUGGUUUUUUGUUUUGUUUUGUUAUUUUUUUUUCUCUCAGCAACAUACCAACCAUUAACCUCUAAGAUUGUACACUCAGAAUCCUAGAAGAGUAUGAAGAUUUAAUAUUGUAGAAUUUACUUCUACCCAGUUCCAUGUUAUAACUUGUGUAUAUUUAGUAGGGCAUAGCCACUUUGUGAUAUCAAGGUGUGUUUCUCUGUGUGCCCUUGUAUGUGCCCUAAUUUCCAGUGAACUUGAACUGCUGAGUUCUCAGGUCAAAUAUUCCUCAUUUCCUGUUAUUGAAUGCAUAUAAGGUGUCUCCCUAAAGCUUCGGUAGGAGUGGAGGUGAAAUUACAUUUAAGAGCUGCAACCUAAUCAUUACAUUGAUUAUGGAUUAAAUUAAUAAUUUGAAAUAAUUUACUGGGCAGUAACUUUAGGCAGGUGGGAUGUGGCCAGAGGAGGUUGGUCACUGAGAGUGUGCCCUUUGGGAUUAUACCUUGUUCCCUUGAAUUUUCCUCCUCUCUUGCUGCUUCUGGGAUCCACUGAGCUAAGUAACUUUCCUCUGCCAUGCCCUUCAGCCUCAAAGCUCCACCUCACCUUGUGCGCAGAGGAAUGGAACUGGUGAACCAUGGACUGAACUUCUGAAACAACAACGUCGUGAGAUGAACAAACCACUACCAGCAUUCUCUCCUGCCCUGAUACAUUAUGCAGCCACAGAUCCAAAGCAAUAAGGCCAAGCAACCUUGGGCUAAAACCUCCAGUAUGUAAACCAAAAUAAGCUUUUCCUUCUCUGUUGAUUAUCUCAGGUAUUUUGUUACAGUAAUAGAAAGCUGAUUAACAUAGAUGUCUAGACAAUACAGUGCCGUGUGUGUUACAAACAAGUAUAUGCUAACUGCUCUCACUCAGUACAUAUUGCUUGUUUCUUCCUCUUGCUAGAUAAUGAAUAUGCAGUGCCCCCAAAAUGCAAAGUCAUUGCCCUAGAAGGACUCACAACUGUAUGGCAACCAACCUGUCAGCAGUUUAGUGGAACUGGAGACCUACCCAUGCAAUUGAGCACAGAGGGCCAGUAGGAAGUGCCAGGAAUGCAAACAGGGAAUUCUGUGUAGACAGGAAUAUUCGUAUAUUGGCCUGUUAAUGUUCUCUCAUAUAGUAGAGUACUUCUGCUAUGGAACAAAAAACACCUUUAAUUGAGAAAUUUUUAAACACAGGUGAACCCACCUAGAAUGUCUUUUGCAUGCUAGAGGGCAGGCAUCAAAUGGCUCUUCAGAUUUUCCAACACCAUUUAUUACAUUAUUUUUGCUUUCCUUACUGAUUGGCAAAGGCAGUUUAGUCAUUUGUCCUGUAAAUCUGGUUCUGCAGAUUCUCUGCAUUACAGGUCUCUGGAGUAUUAUUUAUGUCAUAGUCCACAGACUAUGUAGUGACACACCAUUAGGUGCAAAUGAGUGGAGAAACUCAGAGAGGUUGACCAUACUUGUGGGAAUGUAACAUGGAAUGGCCACUUUGGAGAAUCACUGAAAGUCUCUUAAGUUAAAUGUGCACCUAUUUUAUCUGACUUGGUCAUUCCACUCCCAAGUAUUUACCCAGGAGAAAAGAAAGCACAUGUGCAUAUAAAGACUUGUAUGUCAAUGUUCACAGCGGCACACUUGGGAUAGCCAGAAAUUGGAAACAUAUAGUACAUAUACUAUGCUAUAUCCACACAAUGAAUUACUAUUUGGCAAUAAAAGAAAUGAACCAUUGAUAUGCACAAGUAGUUGGAAAAAAAUUUAAAAACUCAAAAUAAUUAUGCUUAGUGAAGAAAGUCGGUCCUCCCCACAAAAAAGCCAUGUUCCAUGUGAUUCCAUUAACAUAAAAUCUAGAAAAUAUGAUCUAAUCUACAGUGACAGAAAACAUCACUACUUGCUUGAGAGGGAAGAGAAGAGGAUGGGAAGAAGGAUUACAGAAUGGAUAGAGGAAACUUCUGGAAGAGAUGAAUAUGUUCACUAUCUUGAUUUUUUGGUUUAUUGAUGUACGGAUAUUAGCAUUAUCUAUAGAUGCAAUUUAUUGUAUUUAUAUAUAUACAAAUAAAUUGUUGAGAAAGUGUC